rnacentral:rRNA from 2 species
UGGGGAAUAUUGCGCAAUGGAGGGAACUCUGACGCAGCAACGCCGCGUGAAGGAUGAAGGUUUUCGGAUUGUAAACUUCUUUGAUUAGGGACGAAUAAUGACGGUACCUAAAAAACAAGCCACGGCUAACUACGUGCCAGCAGCCGCGGUAAUACGUAGGUGGCGAGCGUUGUCCGGAAUUACUGGGUGUAAAGGGCGUGUAGGCGGGGAUGUAAGUCAGAUGUGAAAUACCGGAGCUUAACUCCGGGGCUGCAUCUGAAACUAUAUUUCUUGAGUGCUGGAGAGGAAAGCGGAAUUCCUAGUGUAGCGGUGAAAUGCGUAGAUAUUAGGAGGAACACCAGUGGCGAAGGCGGCUUUCUGGACAGUAACUGACGCUGAGGCGCGAAAGCGUGGGGAGCAAACAGG